GUGCUGGCUUUGGCAGCACACAUGCUAAAAAUUGGAACAAUACAGAGAAGAUUAUCAUGGCCCCUGUGCAAAGGAUGACAUGCAAAUUCGUGAAGCGUUCCAUAGUUUA